rnacentral:tRNA from 1 species
GGCUAUGUAGUUUAAGUUUAAGACGUCAGGCUGCAAUCCUGAGAAUGUGAUUAUACCUUAGCUU